GAUGAACGCUAGCGGGAGGCCUAACACAUGCAAGCCGAGCGGUAUUGUUUCUUCGGAAAUGAGAGAGCGGCGUACGGGUGCGUAACACGUGUGCAACCUGCCUUCAUCUGGGGGAUAGCCUUCCGAAAGGAAGUUUAAUACUCCAUAAUAUAUUGAACGGCAUCGUUUAAUAUUGAAAGCUCCGGCGGAUAGAGAUGGGCACGCGCAAGAUUAGCUAGUUGGUGAGGUAACGGCUCACCAAGGCGAUGAUCUUUAGGGGGCCUGAGAGGGUGAUCCCCCACACGGGUACUGGGACACGGACCAGACUCCUACGGGAGGCAGCAGUGAGGAAUAUUGGUCAAUGGGUGCAAGCCUGAACCAGCCAUCCCGCGUGAAGGACGGCUGCCCUAUGGGUUGUAACCUUCUUUUGUAUAGGGAUAAACCUACCCUCGGGAGGGUAGCUGAAGGUACUGGACGAAUAAGCACCGGCUAACUCCGUG
rnacentral:rRNA from 1 species